GAGAGCCCGACGUGGGAUUUGAUCCCAGCGUCCUGCGAUCCUGACCUGAGCCAAAGACAGAAGUCUAACGACCGCACCACCCACGUGGCCCAGGAAUAGACUCUUCUAUUUCAAAGAUAUUACAUGGGCUUUCAGAAAAGAGCAGAGAUAGCCCUCAAAAUGCUUUUGUUGCAGUAAUAAACACCAACUGCAGAUGCUGAAGGCCUGUGAUUUCCAGACAUCUGGAACCUGUAAAUUUACUUAGUGUGGUAAGUAUAAUGGAAAGAGUAUCUGUCUUCCUCACAGGAUGUUGUAUCAGUAUAGGACAACAAACAUGAAUUGUUAAUGUGUAAAAACAAAAAUGCCUAAAUUGUCAUUAUCCAAUCUCUGCUCUCACUAAGUUUAUAACCCAGUAAUAGGGACCAUAUGAACAAUUCUAAUAGAAGCCAGAAUGACCCAAAUCCUGGGAAGGAGGAAUAAAUCAAUUGUGCCACUCCGCCCUCACAGAGGAGAAAAUGAUUGAUUUCAACAGGCGGGCUGGGGAAGGGUUCACAGAAUCGGCAGCGUUUGAGUUGGGCUGUGAGGAAGAGAGCUCAAGCAGCAUCUGGAUACAGUGGAAAGGACGUCAUCACAAUGGAGUCAGCACCCUGAGCUCUAUUCUACUUCUGCCUGCCCAGGCGCCGAACUUGCACGCAGCUCCGGCCCAGAGGGGCCUCUGAGCGCGUGCCUUUGCCCACAUUGCUGUCGGUUUAGGCGGGAAGGAGCAGCAAAGUGUACGUGGCUUUAACUGUGGACUCAGCUGUUCUUAUCCACCUGUGCACAGAAGGGCUCCUGACGUAAGAGACUCUGGCUGGAAUCCCAGUGUGUGUGUUCUACUUCCCAAGUGGGGAGAACCCUUGCCGAAGGAUGGUCAUCCCUGAUCUUGCCAGCUGCCAAGUUCUGCUAGCUGGACGACCGCAGAUGCUGUUCUGCCAUCUGGUUUCAGCUGCUUUGACUGGAGAAGCCUCACUGUUUGCCACUCUUUCAUGUUUCUCUUAAAACUGUACUGGUUCCACUAGAUUUUGUCCAUUUUAACUUAGAGCGUGAGUCUUAAAAAUUUAUCUUACUUUUCAUGUUUAACUUUUGACAGACAUCAGGAAGCAGUAACAUAAUAUAGUCCUAUAUUUAGUCCUGCUUGAAACAAGGAAAAUUAGCCUGUUAUGCCCCCGUUUCCACAGUUAGCUCAGCAUAAAUAUUUUCAGGAUCCAGAUUUGGAUGUUUGUAUUUGAAUGGGCUUCUUUCAACUUGGAUGCAGUUUUGAGGAUCCAAUUUUUGCACCGAAGACUAAGGAUAUCAUAAACAUUGAUAAGAACAUUCAGACCCAGUGGGUAAAUAAAGAAAACAGAACAUUAUAAGACACUAUUACUAGACAAGAUGCAGGAAAAAAUUUAAGCCUACUAUGAAUAAGAAUAACAAAAUAUCCUGUUACAGGAAGGGUAGGAAAAAAGAAACUAGAAAUUUCAUAUAUUGUUGUGCCAAUAUAACAUGGAACAACCCUUGUCAAGAUCUUUUUGGUCCUAAAGUGUUCUUAUUCUAGGAGUACAUCUUAUAGAACUUACACUAAGAAAAGGAUCUCAAACAAAGCAAAUCUGUUUUCCAGUGUCCGGGAUCACUGUAGACAUCCCCAGUGAUCUUCCUGUUUCUAUCCUUCCCCUACACUGCCCCCAACCCCUCACUUCAAGCAUAGUCUGUUUUCCUCACAGCAAGCAGAGUGACCCACUCUUCUGCUUAGGACCCUCCACGGCUCCUGAUUUUAUCAGGGUGUGAGGCCAAAUCCUUGCAUUGGCCUACAAGGCUGCUUCCCCUCUCUCCCUGUUACCUGUGGGACCUGUGUCCCUGUGUCUGCGACUCCUGCUGCUCCUCCUGCAAGCCAGCCACAUCCCUGCUUAAGGGCCCUUUGUUCUUGAUAUUCCCUCUGCCUCAGUGGUCUUCCCCCAGAGACCCACGUGGGCCCACUCCUGCUUGUCUUCAACCCUCUGCCUGGCUGUCGUCUGACCUACUCCAUUUAGAACCUCAGUCCACACUCCUACCCUUGAACACAGGCUGGAAUGCCCAUGUUCACCUUACCCUGUUCUUGUUCUUCUACAUACUGUACAAAUUACCUACGAUGUUCACGAUCCGUCUUCCCCACACAAGUGCAAAGUCUACAAGGGCAGGGGCUUUUUUGUGUCUUGCACUGACAUAGCCAAAGGACUUGGAAAAUGCCUGGCAUACAUAUAGGUACUCACUCAAUAAAUAACUGAAUUUUAAAAGAGCAAAAAAGAAGCAUUUCUAGAUACAGGGUUGGCUAAUUAAAAUCCCUGCAACCAGAUGCAUUCAGGACUGAUGUAGUUAAAGCCCCCUAAUGUUUCUGCAUGCUUCAACCCUCUGCAAAUAGGUACUUGGAAAGAGGAAAGAUUCCUUGAUGUAUCAGGUAUUCUUAACGGAGAAGAGAUGCACUGACAGCUUUCCCCUUGGGGUGCACCAGGAUACCUCCAGAGUUGUGGCAUUCAGGGAGGAGGCAAUGCUAACAUUCAGUGCACGAGCCCACUACAAAGACAGACAUCUGGUUUUAUUCUCCGCCUUUUAGGGGAACAGUCUCAAGCAGAACAUCAACUGAGAAAUUCCCAGAAUGAUCUAGCCCUCGAUUAUCUAAACCAAUGGAUUUAAAACUUUUAAUACAUAAGACGUUAUGGGGAUGAGGGGAAAACAUGUUUGGGGCUCCCUCUGCCAAGAUCCUGAUUUAACAGAUUUUUAGGGAAAGCUGGAAAGAUUUUUAAGAAGCAUUCUAAGUGAUUCUGAAGCUGGUGUUUCAAAGACCCCAUAGGUGAACCCUGAUACACAGCUUGGACAGAAUGUACAAGGAGGAUGAAAAAACACACUACCCAGAAUCUGUAGAUGUGAUCCACUCUGUAAUAGGAUAGUAGUAAGUAAUAAAGAUAAAUGAGCAGUCACAAGACGCAUCUUCAUCUAUGACAAUGUAACGAUCCCUCUUCUGGGAAUAAAUCAAAUGUUGCUGUUAAUGAGUACACAAACAGCUAAAAAUACAUGUAGUCCUUGAUGGAGAAAUGGAUUUUAUGAAAUUCAGUGCGUUCCUUCUGCAAAAUAAUGGAGUGAAAUUCAAUGUGCCAUGUAUGAAAUGAUUCUGUCUGUAUGUGAAAAAUAAAAAUAAAAAAAAUUUC